rnacentral:lncRNA from 1 species
CCUGUUUGUUUGUGUGCGUGUCAGCCGAGCUACGAAUGCUCUGAUUCUUCUCUCGUCCGAGAAGAUACGUAUGCAUAGGAUGCGACAUCCUAGCGAGCAUGUGUCGUCUCCCAGUCCGAACUACUUCGACUCCGAUGUCUAUGCCUGAUAGACUAAGUAGGCCCAGGAUACGAUGUCCUGCCGAGUCAGUUUCAGUCAGUUUCUUUUGUCUCUUUU